GGGCCCAUAGCUCAGUUGGUCAGAGCAGUCGACUCAUAAUCGAUUGGUCGUAGGUUCAAGUCCUACUGGGCCCACCA
rnacentral:tRNA from 5 species